GCAGAGACUCUGGUACAUACGGAAGAGGCAGCUCUCACCCGAAGCAGUCAACAAUGCCGCUGGGCUCUGCCUGCUCACGCUGGGGAGGAGCAGUCUUUGAGGAGUUUUUGAGUGAACACGCCAUAUGCCUGUUUCAUCACGAGUGCAAAUCAGCAGGAGGAAAAAGGAUGUCCUUAAAGUGACGUGAAGCCAUCAAAGGAGCUCUCAGGCCCCCCUUCAGAAGGCAGAGGGGAAAAAAAAAACACCUGAGCAAGUUCCUGACAUCAACAUCUGAAUCUUCCUCCUCUGAAUGCUGUAGAGAUGAAACGUUUCUCUGUCUGCUCUGAGCCUCAGUUUCUUUUUUUGUAAAAUGAGGACGAUAACGAUUCCAGCGUAGGCAACUUCAUCGGGUUGCUCUCUGGACCACAGCAGGUACUGGAUGUGAAAGUACUUGGUAGGCGACGCAGCCCCAUGCACCUGACAGGGGCGGCCCACGUCAGGUCUCAGCCGCAUUCUGGGUUGAGGUCUGUGUAGCCUCAACUAGGUCAUUCCUGGCUGUGCGAAGCAGCCCCCUGCAACGGCCCCUGAGUUUCCAGGACUGGAAAACAGAUGAAUUCCACGUGAUCCCUUUCCUCAGGCUUUUCUCCCAGAUGGGGUGUGCCUUGCGGGUGGUGAGGAAGCUUGAGGAAUGCUCAAGGGUCCCUUUACGGGAAGUCUCCAGAUGCGAUCUCCUGUGGCAAACACCUGACCUGAGGACCCCAACUCCCAUCAUCGCCCUGUUAGAGGAGGCAGACUGUGGGAGGUCAUGUGGUGCUGCAUACGUGACAUUGCCUCCCCACGCAGGCAGGAAAAAGAAAGUCCUAAAGGGCACAUAGUUAUUAUUCUGAUUUCAUAGACGAAGAAACCGAGGAUAAGAAGGGUUAAGCUCCUCCUUCACAUUUGCACGGCUAGUAAGAGGGAGAUGUGGCAUUUGAACUUGGGGCAGCCUGACUGCAAAGCCUUGCCUGGUUCCUUUAUAUCACCACGUGUGAUACAAUGGUUGUCACGUGUGUAAUAAUGCUUGUCUCACAAGAUGGAAAACUGCAGAGGGUCCGUGAAAGAAGGACGGAUAAUGUGCCGUGCAGUUUUAGAGGAGGGAGGGAUCACUUCUGGUCAGAGAAAUCCAGGAAACCUUCAUUGAGGAGGUGGCUUUUGCCUCCAGGUCUUGAAUAGGCCAGAUUUGGACAUUCAGAGAUGUCUAUUCUUCCCGUCAGUUGUCCCUUCUGCGGGCUGUGUGGCUGGCUUCCCACAUCUGGUGAAUCUUCGCAAAAUCCAUUUAGUCCCCAGCCUCAUCCUCGUUCUCACUGUCCCCGCACAAGAGAAGUCCCGGAAUACUGGGAACGGGAGAGGAAGUCACUCCGAACUGGGUUCGACUAAAGAACCUUCCUGGAACAGGCCCUGGGGAGAGGUUUGAUGCGACUCGACUUAAGUGCCAGUUCUCGAGUGAGCCUUCCCUGCCCUCCCAGACUAGACCGUGAACCCCGAUUUCAUGUACUUAUCACAAGAGUUACGAGUGAAUUAUUUUCAAUUUGAUGCCUGUUUCUGCUGCUUGACGGUAAGCUCCUUGAGGACAGGACCUCAUGUGCCUUGUCCCUGCCAGAUCCCAAGGCUCUAGCACAGAGACUGGGAUAUAGUAGAUGCCCAGCUAGUAUUUGUUAAAAGGCCGAAUGAGUGCGUGAGUGUCAGAGCGCGGCCCCGGAUGUGCACAGGUGGACACACGCACAGGUGCGACCAUGCUCGGGCUCUGCUCUCUUGUUCCAUUGCUCUGUGUCAUAUGCCAGGAUUUACAGGGCAGCUGGCAGGGUGGCAUCAUGCCUCUGGAAAUGACAUCUGGGAAUGAAUGACAUCCUUUGGGAAGACAGGAUGACGCUCCUUCCCAGCCAGUGCCUCCCUCCCCUCCCCACCUCAAGCCCAGAGGCUCUUCCGGGGGGGGGGGGGGGGGAGAAAUGAUGCUCUGGUAGCAGGUGGUGGAGGGAUCCCAGAGACAGCAGGCUCCGAGAGGGGGGCAGGGAUGCAGAGGGGAAACCGCUGCCUUUCCGGAAACAAAAGAGCCCUUUAAAGUCACUUGAUAUCAUGUCUUCCUGCCCUGGGCCUCUGCCAAGCCUCCCUCUUCCUAUCGUGGAGCAGCAGGGACCUCAGAGACCUGUAUUUGCUCCCCUGCUGGUGCACUGCCCUGGGGACUGGGAGCAAGCAUCGUGCUGGCAGGCCUCCUGUGCCCACAGUGUGCCCGCGAACUGAAGAGUUCUGAGUUUAGGUUUUGAUGGGUCACGCAUCCACAUAUUUCAAAAUCCAAAAGUGUGGGCACACGGGCGGCGAACGUCCCCCUUGUGCCCUGUCCUCCAUCCAUCCAGUUCUCCUUUGGGAGGGUUUUGGUUCUUAGGAAUCCUUCUAGAGAUAGUUGAUGCACAUACAAGGAGACAUGCAGGUGCCCUGCAGGGGCAGGAUUCCACAUACACUGUUUCUAUCUUGCUCUUUGCACUUAAUGACGUGCAUUUUACUUUCUCGGUUAUGUCGUGUUCCGCGGGGUCGGUGUCCUGGGGACCCCGUGCUCCAGACUUCCCCUGUCAUGCCGUGUGCAUGAAUCGCACACUUUUCUUCCUGGAUUGUCCUGAGUAUUGAGGACUGAUGGAAAGUUUCAGCGUUUUCUCUCUGGCUGUCUACGAAAGACAUCCCAAAGAAUGCGUGAUUACGUCGAGUCAUGCGAGGAUUCUGGUGGGGUGUCCGGCCUAUCAGUGUUUGGUGCGUAUUUGAUGAAUUAAUGAACGAGCGAGCACAUUCAUGCAAGAUGGGAGGACUCUAGAAAGCUCCUUCCUCGCACAGACAUGCCUAGGUGGUAGGAGCGGUGAGCCCGGCCCGUGCCUGGGGAAGGAGUCUGCGGUGGUGACGAAGGUGGGGGAAAUACAGUAGGUGGGGGCGGGCGGGGCGAAGCCGUGAAAAUUAGGAGUGGGUGUAAGCGCCAGGGCGCAGCGUGCAGCCAGCCACAGAAAUCGGGCCUCUGCUGGCCCCUGUGCAUAAUUAGUAGCCAGAAAUAGCACCUGAUCGGUGGCCCCGAACGAGCAAGUGUGUUUCCGUGCAGGUCCUCAUGUCUCCACAGCACUGCCCUGCUUUCUUCUUCCUUUCAGACAACAACUAUUUGCAUCCCAAGUGAUGGGUGUCCCACUCUUUCCAAGCACCAUUCUCCACAGGGAUAGAUGGAAACAGCUGGAACGGAGGGGGGAGACUUUGGCUGUAAACCUAGACAGAGGUUCUCUUCUUCUCUCUGAGCCUCAGUUUCCCCAUCCACAAGACGGGAACCAUGUUUGGGCUUCCCCGA